UGGGCGUAAGCGCGCGCAGGCGGUGAUGUAAGUCUGAGGUGAAAACCCGAAGCUCAACUUCGGGACUGCCUUGGAUACUGCGUCACUUGAGGAUAGGAGAGGCAAGGGGAAUUCCACGUGUAGCGGUGAAAUGCGUAGAGAUGUGGAGGAACACCUGUGGCGAAGGCGCCUUGCUGGCCUAUUUCUGACGCUGAGGCGCGAAAGCGUGGGGAGCAAACAGGAUUAGAUACCCUGGUAGUCCACGCUGUAAACGAUGAGUGCUAGGUGUAGGUGGGCUCAUACCCAUCUGUGCCGAAGCUAACGCAUUAAGCACUCCGCCUGGGGAGUACGGUCGCAAGACUGAAACUCAAAGGAAUUGACGGGGGCCCGCACAAGCAGUGGAGCAUGUGGAUUAAUUCGAAGCAACGCGAAGAACCUUACCAGGACUUGACAUCCCAUAGACCAGUCUAGAGAUAGACUUUCCCUUCGGGGCUGUGGUGACAGGUGGUGCAUGGUUGUCGUCAGCUCGUGUCGUGAGAUGUUGGGUUAAGUCCCGCAACGAGCGCAACCCUUACUUUGUGUUGCCAGCAUUCAGUUGGGCACUCACAAGGGACUGCCGCCGAUAAGGCGGAGGAAGGUGGGGAUGACGUCAAAUCAUCAUGCCCCUUAUGUCCUGGGCUGCACACGUGCUACAAUGGGCGGUACAACGGGAUGCGAAGCCGCGAGGUGGAGCCAAACCCUGAAAACCGAUCGUAGUUCGGAUUGUAGGCUGCAACUCGCCUACAUGAAGCCGGAAUUGCUAGUAAUCGCGGAUCAGCAUGCCGCGGUGAAUCCGUUCCCGGGCCUUGUACACGCCGCCCGUCACACCACGAGAAUGGGCAACACCCGAAGUCGGUGGGGUAACCUUUACGGGAGCUAGCCGCCGA
rnacentral:rRNA from 1 species